rnacentral:snoRNA from 1 species
GGCAGAUGAUGUCUUUCUCUCACGAUGGUCUGCGGAUGCCCCACGGGCAGUGCCGACGAUGCCAAUGGCUCAGCUGAUGCCAGGAG